rnacentral:rRNA from 1 species
AACGAACGCUGGCGGCAUGCCUAACACAUGCAAGUCGAACGAGACCUUCGGGUCUAGUGGCGCACGGGUGCGUAACGCGUGGGAACCUGCCCUUAGGUUCGGAAUAACUCCCCGAAAGGGGUGCUAAUACCGGAUAAUGUCUUCGGACCAAAGAUUUAUCGCCUUUGGAUGGGCCCGCGUUGGAUUAGCUAGUUGGUAGGGUAAAAGCCUACCAAGGCGACGAUCCAUAGCUGGUCUGAGAGGAUGAUCAGCCACACUGGGACUGAGACACGGCCCAGACUCCUACGGGAGGCAGCAGCGGGGAAUAUUGGACAAUGGGCGAAAGCAUGAUGCAGCAAGGCCGCGAGAGUGAUGAAGGCCUUAGGAUGGUAAAGCUUUUUUACCCGGGAUGAUAAUGACAGUACCGGGAGAAUAAGCUCCGGCUAACUCCGUG